rnacentral:lncRNA from 1 species
UCUGGGAGAAAAUAAAAGGGAAAUAAACAAUACCGUGCAUCACGUGCCAACACCCAACCCUCACACACACCCCGUGCCCUUGAUGGACACCCUUGCGCAUUCCACGGCCAAGCCGAAGGUUGUGCGUAAAUUACGUAAAUGUUCUGUGAGGUAUUUGCAUAAGUUUUGCCAUAAAGCUGAAGUUUUCCCGAGGAGGCGGUUUUAGUGAUCGUGGGAAGCGUCUGAUCGCCAGAUGGGUCCAGGAGGCUUUGCCUUUAACAUCGCAGCUUGGACAGAUUCUCCGAAUCGAGCAUUUGCUGAACCAUCAGCGAUUUGUGGAUCGUAAGACGAACUCACCAUGUUCGACAGCAAUUCGACUCAAACUGUGGUGGAACAGGUGGUUGAGGAGAAAGGCAGCAACUUAUCAUACGCUGUACCAGUGCUUGCGGUCUACGGCUUGGUUUUGGCUGUGGCCACAUUGGCCUACCUGAAAGCCAAAAAACCUCCUCCGAUUGAUGACCCCAUCCACGAGGUGGUCGGCCGACAAUGGACCGGGCCCAAACUGGAUCCCGCGGAUCUCGAUAACUGGGAGCCAACGCUUUUGGAGGCCGACGAACCAUCCGGCUUAAGUGGGGACAGCACGGGCCUGAGCACGAGCGAGCGGUGCUCGGAUUGGAGCGAUUACGGGCCGGGAGGUUGCGUCCCGUCGAGGGCACGCUUUGAGGAGAUGCCAUCGCUGGAUCGUGACAGCAACGGAAGCGACGUUCGUCGCGUGUCCAACUGGUUGUCUGCAGCAUUGCCCGAAAUGCGUGAAGAUCGUACGAGUUGGGCAGCAGACAGAGAUGUGGGCAGGCACAUGUGGAAGCCCCACGGACUGAGGAAUGAAAGUUUAAUGGCCGUUGUUUGACCGCGCGGUAUGUAUCUUACAACAUGACCAACCUGCAAGAAAUGUGGUUCAAUAUUUUUACAACCGCCCUGACCUCACAAGUGAUCUCUCGUGCCCAUCUCUUCAAAGCAGCCUUUCCUUGAUGUAAUUUUAUGUACAUAUUGUUGAUCGUAAGUUAUACAUAACAUAUAUAUACAUUACUAUUAUAAUAAAACUAAGAU